CGAAUCAUGCUCAACUCAAAUAGUCUUGUGACUCCUCACUAGGACUACCCUGCCCAAGGUUUUGCUAAAUUGAAACACGACUGUACACAGCUCCUGAACUGAAGUGGUCAAUCCCAUCUUGACACAUGCACCGACAAGUCAAGUACUUGACUACACCCAGCAGCCUUCCGUCACUGAAUUAGAAAUUCAGGUAGUCCAGUGCCUAAGUGCAAUGAGUUACUUGCAAGUCACUGUGGUGG
rnacentral:lncRNA from 1 species